CCAUGGCCGCCCCCGCCCUGGCCCGCCUCCGACCCCGGCCAAGCAGCUCCUCUUCUUCGGCUCAAUCGUCAUGCCCCCGCGCGCGUCCAUGCCGCAGCAGCAGCCGCCUCCGCCCCCACACCCGCAUCUGCACAGCAUCGGGGGCGUAAAAAAGGAAAGUUGAAAAUUUCCUCCUUCCGUCUGCUACCUUCUUCUUCUCCUUUUGAGAUUCUAUUAUAACUUUUGAUCGUAGGAUCUAGAGUAGCCUUAUUAACACAUGUUCUCUGAUUUUUGUUUCGGCCAUUCAAAUUCUUGUGCUGGCUUAACAAUAUAUAUAGAGACAAGUUAGGCGAAUUAAUUAAUCAAUUAUUGUUGCUUUCAUAUGAUUUGAAAUCUGACUCAAUUUUUUGCUUUGCUACAUUGACAGUCCAUGUCCAUCAGCAGCAAUUUACAGCCGGCAAAGCCCGGACUAGCUAGCUAGAAGCAUUUGCAGGUCAGUUGUUUAACUUCUGAAUCGUCUCAUCUUCUCAUCGGUACUGCUCACCAUCUCUUGUUUAUAUUAUGAGUGCUAGUGCUAGCAGCACUCUUGUUUUCAUUUUCGUGCUUUUGCCGAUUGCCACUUUUCUGUACUGUUGCUCACUCUUUGUCCAUACUACAUAUGUAUACCAUGGUGCAUCUUGCCAUAAUGUAGUAGAUCGUAUGGUAGGCAUUUAUUAGCUACGCACCACAACACAAGCAAAAUGGAAGACUUCUCUUGUGCUUUUACGCAAGGUCAACUGAAAAAUAACCCUACCGUAGCCUAAAUCAUGUCAUGUGUAGUUUGAUUUGUCUGGGCCUUGAGUGGUAUAGACUCCAAUAGUUCUUUAUGACUCUCUAGCAGCCUUGAGUGGUAUAUACAUGUAUAGAUGUUGUGUCUACUGACAAAAGUACCGUUGGUACGUUGUACGUUGUAAGCUGGAAAAGGCAAUGGGGAGUUAUGGGGCAGGAAAAAAAUAUCCAGGAGCAGUGUCUGCAUGCAUGUUUUUGCUUGUUACACGUUCUUUCUACCCUUUGCAUAUGGUUGUUCAAUUCAUCUUUUUUUCUAAACUUACAUCCCUUAGUCGGGGUAUUAUCUUAAGAACAGCUUCUUGUGAUCUCGAUCUCACAAAGAAUAAAGGAAGUCCUCCGUAUAAACUACAUUUGUGGAAACAAAAAAUUAAAAAUCAUGUGUAACUUAGACUCUUAUAGGCGCGAAAUAUGUAAAUGCUAAUUAACCAACAUAUUUCUGUCGUUUAGCAAGGAACAUGCAUUGAGAUGAAUAGCCAAGUUCGUUAAUUGUCCAAACAUAAGUUGCACCCCAUUGCCAUUUUUUGUAGAACACAUGUUGCCGCGUACCAUAUACCUUAGUUAACCACUGUCACUGUGAUAUGAUAGACCUACUAUAGCCAAUGACCAUUAUCUUAAAUAAUGGUGUGAUGAUUGAAUGAUCAGGCUGAUUAUUGCAUAAUGCGUAUAUUAGUUCCAUAUUGAUUUUUCUGCGGUUCUCCUUCCUUCAUAUUCCUAGAGAGAAAGGGCUGAAUUUUGGCGCUCAUAUAAAGAACAUAUAUAACCACAUCUCUGUCAUAUUACUCUUUGUACGUACAUGUAAGAUAUGUUACACAUACAAAAAAAAGAUGAGGUCCUUUAAGUAUAUUAACAAUAUAUGCACAUACAGAAGGGCUAAAUCUUUUAAGUAUAUUAUCACAAUACUUGUGUUUAUUUUGUAUUACACAUUAAGGUCCUUUUUUCGAAUUGUUACCGUUUACAUGUUGGGGAAGCAAUUGUUGGAAUGUAACAAUCUAGCCCGCGGAUUGUCAAAACUUAUAUUGGUUACAAUCUGGGAAUUCUUAAAGUCAACUUGUAGAUUUUAACAAAGCUGGAAGCUGCAUAUAUAAUCUGUGCAAGCUAAAAACAUAUAUAUAUAUAUAUAUAUAUAUAUAUAUAUAUAUAUAUAUAUAUAUAUAUAUAUAUAUAUAUAUAUAUAUAUAUAUGUGGCCUUAAUAUGUGUCAACAUCCUAUUUGUAAAGAAAUCAAAUCAUACUAUUACAUGCAUGACCUCAAUAGUUUGUACUUCAAGAGCUUCAACUGAUCAAGUACUUUAUAGAACAUACCAUGUAGUUGCACAACUAAAUGAUUUAUCAUGGCAUCCCUUUCAAGAUGGAGAAUGCGUGUGUUGUGCUGGAUUAAAUUAGGCGUGCACAUUUAAUUCAAAAUCAAGUAUACUGGAAGAUCAUGAAGUUUUCUAAGGAUGUAUGUGUUUUCACUUUAUUUUGUUGGAUUUUUGUAUUCUUACGAAUAGUGCUUGGUGCCAAAAUCGUGUACAUUUUCCUAGCUUUUCCCUAACUAUAACAUUUACCUUCAUUUGUUAUUAAAUACACUUGGUGCAGAUAACUUACAUAAGGAUAGUGGUCAGCCAUAAUAUUUUGGAAUAUCAUCUUCCUUUUAGAAACAGGUUUACGCAAACUUUCAGUGACAACGUUUGCAUAUAUUUUUUUCAUUCACACUAUCCAUCUCGUAGUAUGUGAAUGAGUUCGACAAAUUUGUAGCAACUAGCACAGGCCUAAGGGAUACACGUCCUGGUGCCCCCCACCACCUCCCAUUCAUUAUCCUUGGUCUUCACCUCCACCUACACCUACAUCUCCAUCUACCGAACAUCAGACCCCUCCAACUACCUUGCCGACACAUGAACGAGAAGAUGGGUUAGGCUUUAUCGAAACCCUCUUCGCUAGUGGAGGUAUCGACCAUCACUCGUCACUGUAACCCGAUGGUGAUCGGCGACCGUGAGCUUCCAUGUUAUUGUGUUCUAAUACUUGAGACUUUUAUUAUGACUAUGUAUGAGAUAUUGUCUCCUAUUAGUACUAGAUGAUGAGAUGUGUCUUAUUAUGACUAUGGAUGAGACUUCUGUGAUGUAAUAGUUGAUGAGACUAUGGAUUUAAAUAUUGUUAUGUGAUUGUGUGUGAGAUGUUUUAUAUGAAAAUAUGUUGU